ACCGGCUUGGUGAGCAGCAGGUCUCCAAAUACCUUUUUAAAGUGCGUGGCCAUAUUCCUCUGUUGGACCACACUGCAGUGGUCCUCGAUGGACAAGAUGACAGGAUACCUGCACAAACACAGUGGCAGGAAGUGAAGAGGACCAGCGGCACAUGGAUAAUCACUUCUGCUGAUUAACAAAACACGUGCAACCCUCUGGCGUCAGCGAGGAAGCAAGAAAAGCAGGAGACAGGAAGUUGCCCUCUCCCAACCCAACGCAUCACUUCCUGGCGCUUAUCAGGCGGUGGCAGGCUGUUUGUCCUGGAGCGGCUUCCACCCAAACAGAAGCUUAUUAAUGAAAGCACGAGAGUGGGUGUGUGUGUGUGUGUGUGUGUGUGUGUGUGAUAUGCAUGUUUGAGUCUCAUGUUGUGGAUUUGUGUGUCUGGCUGUGGGAUAUGGAGGACCACAAGUGUCACCAAAAUAGUAAUAAAGCAUUUAACUGAUUGUACAAUAAAAAUAGACAUCAAUAACUUAGUUCACAGAGUAAUUUCAAAGUCUUUUUUGGCCGCAGUGCAUCAAGUGACAGUGUCAUUACACAUCUUUGAGCAUCACAACCCCCCGUGAAAUGACUUGAGUCACUAUCAUGACUGGAACCAUUCGAUCCAAUUACAUUGCCUAAAAGAUCCCCAUUCAAACACUAAACUGGAAGCCACCUCGGACAGCGGAAGUCUGUAGUGCGCUCGCUUCAAAUCCACCUUCAGGCAUGUCACAUGUCUGCAGAUGACAAUCAGAGAGCUUGUUACAUCAGCUAAUUUGCAUUGUUUUACCUCGUUUUACCAGCUCAAGGACCAAAGUGUCACGGUAAGGCCAAAUGGAGAGGCUAAAAGGAGAGGCUAAGAUUAAGGAAAAGUAGCAGGUAGAUGGAAAUGCAGAUAGAAAAGGAAAUGGCCCUUUUAAAUGCAUGAUCAAAACUUAAUACAAUUUUUGAAUUCAGCAAU